GAUGAACGCUGGCGGCGUGCCUAAUACAUGCAAGUCGAGCGAACGGACGAUAAGCUUGCUUCUCUGAUGUUAGCGGCGGACGGGUGAGUAACACGUGGAUAACCUACCUAUAAGACUGGGAUAACUUCGGGAAACCGGAGCUAAUACCGGAUAAUAUUUUGAACCGCAUGGUUCAAAAGUGAAAGACGGUCUUGCUGUCACUUAUAGAUGGAUCCGCGCUGCAUUAGCUAGUUGGUAAGGUAACGGCUUACCAAGGCAACGAUGCAUAGCCGACCUGAGAGGGUGAUCGGUCACACUGGAACUGAGACACGGUCCAGACUCCUACGGGAGGCAGCAGUAGGGAAUCUUCCGCAAUGGGCGAAAGCCUGACGGAGCAACGCCGCGUGAGUGAUGAAGGUCUUCGGAUCGUAAAACUCUGUUAUUAGGGAAGAACAUAUGUGUAAGUAACUGUGCACAUCUUGACGGUACCUAAUCAGAAAGCCACGGCUAACUACGUG
rnacentral:rRNA from 1 species